CCGUGAGAGAGGUACUGAGGCCUGUUUCAUUGGUGUUCCGGAGCAUUGAGGCAGUCAACCAGAUUUAUACAGCCUCAGUGACGGAGCACAUUAUUGAUGGGAAGCUUCUCUAAGCCAUCAGUCAGAUGCGUCACAAAACCUCUCAAAGAGUAUUAAACUGGAAGGAUACUGAUAUCUUGCGAGCAGCUGGAGCAUUUGUUUGAAAGAUCAUUAUUUCUUUCUCGGAUCCAGCGAAGGAUUUCUACAUGCUGCCAUUUGACUUCAACAUCUCCCAGCCAUUAAAAAGUACUAGAAACACUCAGUGCACAAACAAACUCAGACCCUCACGUAUCCCACCCAACCAAAGUUCAGAUCAACAUCCAACAAAAUCUGACAAUACUGAUACAUUGCUCCAACAGCAUUUGUAACAAAUCACAGUUCACAACAUACAAGCACAAUAUGACUCAAUAUAUGUGUGUCCCCUUAUCAUAGGUUAUGCUAUGAAUUCCUCUAAGAUCCCAGGCUGUAUAAAACAUCCUCAAUCAAGCCCUGUUUUACUAACCAGUUUAUCAGCAAAAAUAUA